rnacentral:rRNA from 1 species
UAAGACGAACCGUGCGAACGUUAUUCGGAAUCACUGGGCUUAAAGCGCGUGUAGGCGGAUGGGGACGUCGGUCGCUGAAAUCCCCCGGCUCAACCGGGGAACGGGCGCCGAAACGCCCCGUCUGGAGGGACGUAGGGGGACCUGGAACUUCCGGUGGAGCGGUGAAAUGCGUUGAGAUCGGAAGGAACGCCCGUGGCGAAAGCGAGGUCCUGGACGUCUUCUGACGCUGAGACGCGAAAGCUAGGGUAGCGAACGGGAUUAGAUACCCCGGUAGUCCUAGCCGUAAACGAUGGGCACUGGGUAGGGGGCUCGCCGAUGGGCUCCCUGCCGUAGGGAAACCGUGAAGUGCCCCGCCUGGGGAGUAUGGUCGCAAGGCUG